UCCCCGUUACCGGGGCAGUCUGAUUAGAAAAAUACAACUAAUCACAAGGGUUGCGCUCGUUGAUGGACUUAACCAAACAUCUCACGACACGAGCUGACGACGGCCAUGCAUCAUCUGUCACUUGGUUCAAUAAAGCACUCUUGCCUUUCGGCAAAAUUCCAAGGAUGUCAAACCCUGGUAAGGUUCUUCGUUUAGCAUCGAAUUAAAGAACAUGAUCCACCGCUUGUGCGGGUCCCCGUCAAUUCCUUUAUGUUUUAGUCUUGCGACCGUACUCCACAGGCGGGAUACUUAACGCGUUAGCUUCGCUACAGAGGGGGUCGAUACCCCCUACAGCUAGUAUCCAUCGUUUACGGCGUGGACUAC
rnacentral:misc_RNA from 1 species